GGGCGGUUAGCUCAGCGGUAGAGCACCACGUUGACAUCGUGGGGGUCACAUGUUCGAUCCAUGUACCGCCCACCA
rnacentral:tRNA from 1 species